UUUACUGUAGGUCUGUGUGUUAGGGUUAGGUUUACUGUAGGUCUGUGUGUUUGGGUUAGGUUUACUGUAGGUCUGUGUGUUAGGAUUAGGUUUACUGUAGGUCUGUGUGUUAGGGUUAGGUUUACUGUAGGUCUGUGUGUUAGGGUUAGGUUUACUGUAGGUCUGUGUGAUAGGGUUAGGUUUACUGUAGGUCUGUGUGUUAGGGUUAGGUUUACUGUAGGUCU